CUUACUUUGUGAGGUCCAGUGGCAAGGAGCACACCAACGGUAUGGGGCCCUCAGACGGUGUGGGGCCCAAAAUGGUGGGCCCCACAACGUUUAUUGCUUUAAAUGAGCUCUGGAACCUCCCCUAAUGCCCCUGUUGCUUCUUCUUCACUUGGCCCACAAGGUAACAAAAAGUGGAAACGUGUGUUUGAAAUUAUUUGCUCUCUAUCGCCCCCUACUUCCGGUUUUCCCAUUUUCGCCGAUACACACCAAGUAGAAGUGUGUAAACUUUCAGCCAAUGAUACGGGACGUGGGCGGGGCUUAGCGAAUGCCGCGCUGUGGACCGGGCCUGCAGCUCAAUGGAUGACAGAGGAAGAGGGUCCAGCCGGCAGAAGAUGCAAUAUCGUGGGUUCUGUCUUCAAGGGACAAGCAGUGUUUUAUAGAAAAAUAUAUUGAUAGUUACAAAGGUAAGAAGCAUGUCUGGUCCAGUCGGUGUAGCAUAUUGUGCAUUUCUCAGUACUAUUCAUUAACAUGUACAUAUGGUAUAAAUAAUUAUUUGAAAUAGACGUCAGAAGCAGAUAUCUUUAAAAACAUCUUGCUUGUGGCUGCUGUUUAAGUAAAAUGCAGCCUUGUAUGGGCAAUUUUACAUAAGCCUGUCUUCUAUCAUGAAUAUUUACAUUAAAUAUAGAUGCAAUUGCACAACUUUUUUUUGUGGUAUAUGGCUUGUGUGCACAUGCAUUAUAAAUAAAUAUCCUUUUUGUUGGAGAAUGAUUACAUGCUAGCUUCAACUUAUUUAAAAGAGGGCUGCAUAAUUAAUCAAAUAGUAAUUGUGAUCAUUAUUUUGGUCUUCCACAAUUAAAUAAACAUGAUCGACUGCGAUAUUGACAUAUACAAUCCAACAGAGUAGACAGCUAGACAAAAAUCAGAGGCAGAGUCUCAGAGCUAGUCUCUCGAAACAAAGCAUCGUCCCAUGGGUUUUUAGGUAAUUCAGAUUCAGGAGAGUUGUGAUCAUAAACAACAAAAAUCUUAUCCAAAGAGUGCAUGCCACUUGCCUGCUCCACAAAGCAACACAAAUAUUAAACCCCCUGAAUAAAUCUCCAUGAACUGCGGUUUAGGAUUGGUAAUGAAUAAUCGAUAUUCAUAUAUUCGUUCAUUAAGAAUUAUUCGAAUAACAUCCAAGCCUAAUGAAUAUCGUUCUAGUCCCGCGCAUUAUGAGAAGAACAUCUUCCGGUAUCUUGUGGAGCUCGACUUCCUACAGCAGAUGAGUGUAACGGGUGCUAAAUCCCUGUCAGAUAUCUUAACGGACUUUAAGUUCAUGGUCAGUGAUUUGUACAUCUAAAGAAAAUAUGUAUUCACUCUAACCGUCCCAUCCUUUCCCGUAAACUCACAGACCAGGGUUCCUAAACUGAAAAAGAAUGCCUUAGCGAAUGAUCGAUUAAUUGUUCAAUAACGUUAUGAAUAUUCGAACAUGAAAUCUCCUCUAAAGUCCCAUCCCUACUGCGGUUCGAUAAAUGCAUGAAGGCCAAGAAGGAGAAUAUUGUAUUGAUCCAAUAUUUCGCCGCUGCUCAAACAUCAACUCAAAAAUCAUGAACCGCAACACUGUGAAGGGUGUUAUCAUUGUAAGGUAGCGAACUGAUGGAAAACAUGAAAAUUAAUGCAGUGCUCUCUUUAGGUACAAAUCUGUGAAUAUUUUGCAUCAAUUUCAAUCAUGUUUUUGCCUCUAUUAGAUGCCCUGUGAAUGGGAUUUUGAAAUCAUGCUCUUUUUAUUUAAAUGUUAAAGUACUCUAUAAUCAAUUGAUAAUUUACAUGAAACCCUUUUGGUUAUAAUCAUGUAGCCCUACAUAGUGUAAUAGGAGGUUUUGUUACUUUUUAGUAUUGAUGCUUCCAAAGAAGACGGAUCCCUUGGAAGAUUGGUUAAUGAAAACAACAAAUAUCGAAACUGCACCAUACAACAAGCCAAACUUAUGCCUAUUUUCCAUUAAGCUUAUUGAGGUAGGAACCGAAAUAAUCUCCUACUCUGGUGACUCAAAAGGGCCAAGCCAUGAAAAGGUGACCAACUUGCAGACUCCUGCUGUGGCAGUAGAGACCCAGAUAUUAAAAGCAGAUCCGAGCUCCCAAGGAGAUUCCAGUACUGAACUUGCAAAAUCGCAGGUGAUCAACUUGCAGACUCCUGCUGUGGCAGUAGAGACCCGGAUAUUAAAAGCAUAUCCGGGCUCCCAUGGAGAUUCCAAUACUGAACUUGCAAACUCGCAGGUAAAAGAAUGAUGAAGACGCUGUCAUCACAAACUGUUUAUCUAGACCUCUACACUAUCUGGUUCAUUUACAAAGAUAUUGUGGUGUUGAUAUAGCAUUCUGAUACAGCUUUACAUUGGGGGUUACUCAUUGGCGGAUUUGGUAGACUUAUGAUGAAGGAACAUAGUUGAUGACGAGGGAACCUCACUUAAAUGAGCACACACACAUCUCUAGUCUUUUCCUUAUGGGGCCCAAUUCAUCUCAAACACACACAUUAAUGUUUCUAGUGAUGCUCUAAUGGGGCCCUUCCGUUUGGAUCUCACUUUUAGAGAUUUUACUCAUACACACACACUCAUAAAUGUGUCUAGAGAUGCUCUAAUGGGGCCCUCCUGUUUGGAUCUCACUUUAAGAGAUUUUACAUCAGUAAGGCAACACCUCUCAUUAUCUAAACCAAGUUAUUACAGAAAUAUUAUUACACUCUCUGAACGGUUAUAUGUUUAAAAAGGGUAUUUUGAAUGUGAUCCGCUUUAGCCUCUUAUAUGUUGUUAUGGCUGUAGUUCAGAUCUUCAGAAACGUCUUUGCCACACACUUAGCUUUGGUUAUAUGCUGUUUUAGAAUCGUUUAUCACAGAGCUGACUUUUGUAACUUAUCAAUAUCUUCAAAACCU